rnacentral:lncRNA from 1 species
AUGGCGGCCAACAUGUACCAGGUAGGAGAUUUUGUCUACUUUGAGAAUUCCUCCAGCAAUCCAUAAAUAAUCAGGAUAGAAAAUCUCGACAAGACUGCAAGUGGCAACAUGGAAGCAAAAGUAGUAUGCUUUUACAGAUUACAUGAUAUUUUUAACACACUGAUAAUGCUUGUGGAGAAGCAUGCUAAAGAAAUUGAGGAAGAAUCUGAAACAAUAGUUGACCCUUACUUGACCAAUACUCAGAAACAUCAAUCAAAACAUAAGUUACUUUCUUUGUUACCCCAAUAUGAAUCUUUGCCUUCAACACAUAUUAGGGGAAAAUGCAGUGUUGGCUUAUGAAUGAGACAGAAUCAGUAUUGUCAUAUCUUCAUAAAAAGGAUACUUUCUUCUACUUAUUGAUCAUGACCCCUCAUCGAAAACACUAUUAGCUGAUGAAGGUGAAUUCAGAAUGGGACCUAGAUAUCAAGUAGAUGUCCCAGAAAUGCUCAUAGAAGGAGAAUCAGAUGAGAGGGAGCAGUGAAAAUGGAAAGUUAAAGUUUGGGGAUCCAAAUAGCCCACUUAAAGAUUGAUCAAUUAACCAGUUUUUAAUUGUAGCAAGUGCUAUUGGGACACUCCCUAGACCUCUCGAUUGCAGCAGUUCUUUGAGGCAGCCUAGUUUGCAUAUGAGUGCUGCUGCAGCUUCCCAAGACAUCACCUUCUUUCAUGCUAUCAAUACAUUGCGUAGACAUAGCUAUGAUUUGAGCAGUGCAAUUAGUGUCUCAGUACCACUUGCAGAAGCUGUUUUAUGCAGAGAUAAAUUGGAAGAAUGGUCAGCCUCUUAAGCUAGCUUAUUCGAAGAGGUACUGGAAAAAAUAUGGCAAAGACUUCAACGACAUAUGCCAAAACUUUUUCCCUUGGAAAUCAUUGACUAGCAUCACUGAAUGUUAUUUCUUGUGGAGAACUACUGACAGAUAUGUGCAACAGAAAUGGUUAAAAGCAGCAGAAACUGAGAGUAAGCUGAAACAAGUAUAUAUCCCAAUUUACAGGAAACCAAAUCCCAACCAAAUAUCUACCAGCAAUGGCAAGCCUGGUGCUAUGAGUGAAACCAUGAGGUUGACAUUCCUGCCUCAGAAUCCCCUUGUAGUGCAAGCCUGGGAGGGCUGCUGUGCUACACAGUCUAACCAGUAGUAUUCUUGGGGCCCACCUAAUAUGCAGUGCAAUUUGUUGGCUUUAUUGAGAAAAAUAUGGAGACCUGAAAAUGCCCACCCAGUCAGAAGAAAAGUUAUCUCCUAGCCCAAUUACAGAGGACUCUCAUGUUAGAAAUGCUGCCAGGCCAUUCAAGGGAUGCCACUCCAAAACACUGUCAGUACAAAGUCUGCAGUGAAAACUCACCAAGCUUUCUUCCUUCAUACUGUGUUUUUCACAAAAUUUGCUCUCCAUUUAUUCAAAAGUAUCCUCUGGCUGAAGCAGGCAGCAAGAUGGCCACUUGUAGCUAUUAAU